rnacentral:rRNA from 1 species
UAAUGUAUGGGGAUCUGCCCGAUAGAGGGGGAUAACUACUGGAAACGGUGGCUAAUACCGCAUAAUGUCUACGGACCAAAGCAGGGCUCUUCGGACCUUGCACUAUCGGAUGAACCCAUAUGGGAUUAGCUAGUAGGUGGGGUAAAGGCUCACCUAGGCGACGAUCUCUAGCUGGUCUGAGAGGAUGAUCAGCCACACUGGGACUGAGACACGGCCCAG